rnacentral:piRNA from 1 species
UUCCUCGAUGACCCAUGGUAAGACCCAUGA